rnacentral:lncRNA from 1 species
GUCAGGAUUCAGCUUAUAGCAGGAAGGAACAUUUGGGCAGAACUUCAAAUUCAUGGUACACGGUCUGCAAGAUCCUCCAGAGAGCUGUCGCUCGGAAGACACAAAGAGCUGGUGGUCCCUUUCCUGGGUGUGGGAGCCUUGGGAGAUAAGAUAUCUGGCCCUGCCCAGCCCACUAGAGAUAGACCUCACUGUGUAGCCAAGGAUGACCUUGAACUUCUCAUUCUCCAGCUCCCAACUUCCACAUGCUAGGACACGGGCAUGUGUCACUGUACCUGUUUUAUGCAGUACUAGGCACUAGUCAGGGCAUCACGGAUGCUUGGCAGAUGUGCUAACUGAACUGCAUAUUAUACCGUUAAUGUUAAAAAGUUCUAGUUUGCUUCUGUUGCUGUGUGUACUGG